rnacentral:tRNA from 1 species
CAGAACCCAGCUUCAAAGCAUCUCGUUUACACGAGCUACUGUCUCCUAACCUAGACUGUUCUGAG